AUUGAACGCUGGCGGCAUGCCUUACACAUGCAAGUCGAACGGUAACAGGGAGCUUGCUCCGCUGACGAGUGGCGAACGGGUGAGUAAUGCAUCGGAACGUACCAAGUAGUGGGGGAUAACGCAGCGAAAGCUGUGCUAAUACCGCAUACGCACUGAGGUGGAAAGCAGGGGACCUUCGGGCCUUGUGCUAUUGGAGCGGCCGAUGUCAGAUUAGCUAGUUGGUGGGGUAAAAGCUCACCAAGGCGACGAUCUGUAGCUGGUCUGAGAGGAUGAUCAGCCACGCUGGGACUGAGACCCGGCCCAGACUCCUACGGGAGGCAGCAGUGGGGAAUUUUGGACAAUGGGGGCAACCCUGAUCCAGCCAUGCCGCGUGAGUGAAGAAGGCCUUCGGGUUGUAAAGCUCUUUCGGCCGGGAAGAAAUCGCCAUCUCUAACAUAGGUGGUGGAUGACGGUACCGGAAUAAGAAGCACCGGCUAACUACGUGCCAGCCGCCGCCGUAA
rnacentral:rRNA from 1 species